GUGUGUUAUUGGGAAUUGAGCCCAGGCUUCCUGCAUGCUAGGCAGGUGCUUUGUCUGAUAAGCUACACCCCAGCCCCUCACUGGGGGAUUCUAGGCAGGUGCUCUACCACUGGGCCACACCCCA
rnacentral:sRNA from 1 species